rnacentral:misc_RNA from 1 species
AACCAUAGAAACCUGCGGAGUACCUGCGGAGGGAUCAUUACCGAGUGAGGGCCCUCCGGGUCCAACCUCCCACCCGUGUUUAACGAACCUUGUUGCUUCGGCGGGCCCGCCUCACGGCCGCCGGGGGGCACCCCGCCCCCGGGCCCGCGCCCGCCGAAGACACCUGUGAACGCUGUCUGAAGUUGCAGUCUGAGACACUAGCUCAAUCAGUUAAAACUUUCAACAAUGGAUCUCAGAUCG